rnacentral:lncRNA from 1 species
GAGGUUGCUCUGAACUCUGUUGGCUUUUCUCUCACUAUCUUUUCCUCAGGGUUUUGCUUCUCUUCCUUCUUUCUCCAGUGAAUCUCCCAGUGUAACUCCAAGUGUGUUUUCCUCUACUGAAACUUCAGUAUUUAUAGACUGAUUUUCGUGGGUAGUGGGCUCAAAUGAGGGAGACCCAAGUCCAAAAUAAUUUGUUAUAUUUUAUUUAUUUAUUUAUUU